GAGAAUUGGAAAGACUUCAGAAUAGCCUGUACUGUAUUUAUGUGCAUCUUGGAGCAGCAAAGUCAGGUAGUCAAGGGCGUGAUGAUUGGGGCACCGUGUGCCAAGCUAAGGCAUUUCAACCUCAUCCUGAGAGUUAUAGGGAAUGAUACAGGAUUUUGACAAGGCUUGAAUUUCAGAAUGACUACUCUGUCAUACAAACUAAUAAUAACAGAAUAACCGAAACCUUAACAUAAAGACAAACCGACAACAUGCAUAGAUGAUUCACGGAAUUUAAAAAUAGCAAGUAAACAUGAAAACAUGCUCAACUUCACUUAGAAAUUUAAUUAUUCAUUUAUUGAAUCAGAAAACAUAUAAUUUAAAUGUGAACAUUCAAUUCUAGUUAGUGUGAGACAUCCAAUCUCAUGCAUUACAAAGGGAAUAAUUUGUUAUCUCUUUUCUGGAAAGCAAUUGGUAAAGUAUAUCAAAAAAUUCAAAAAUACUCAUAUUAUUUAACCAAAUAAUUUCAUUUCUAGUAAUUGAUCUCAAGGAAAUAAUGAGAGGAAAGAGUUAAAGAUUUAAGCACAAUUUUUUUUAAAUGAACAAACUAAAUGUUCAACAAUAGAGGAGUGGUUAAAUUAUGGUUCAUCCAUUUCAUUUUCUAGACUAUAGUGUGGUCAUUAAAAUCAUAUUUUAAGAUAACUUUUAAUGAUAUGGGAUAAUGCCUUAUGUGUUGUGUGAAGAAAUCAAGCAAUAAAGUGAUAUAUGGAGCAUGAUCCCAAUGAUGAUUAGAAAAACUAUUCAUGCAUUUCUUUUAAAGCUGGAAGGAAAUGUACCAGUAUGCUUACCACGGUUAUAUAUUUGCUUUAAGAUAAUGAAAACUUUUUGUUAUGUGUCCAACGCAUUGUCCAAGGCUUAAGAAAAAUAGUAUGAGCACAUACCACUUUCACAUUUUAACAUUUUUAAAAGGAAAUAUUAAUUUAUCUGUAAUAUGAAGGCUGACCUGGAGAGUGACAAAAAAUAAAGACAGAAAAACCAUAUGUAAGGGCAGCUGCAGUAAUCAAAAGAGAAAAUGUGUGGGUCUGGGCCAACUUAGUGGCAGGAACAUAGAAAAGAAAAGAAGGCUUCAAAGGAGAGAAAAUCCAUACUGCUUGCUAAAGGGGCACAGGAGGAAGGAGGAGUGGGGUGACUUGCAAAUUCUUGGUGGAUCUUGGGGGAGAAGUUGAUCUGAGGUAAUGAAGACAGGAAAUAUCUCCCUCCGCAUGCUUUGUUGGCUGUUUCUUGGGAAUAUGCAAGUGGAGACAUCCAGUUAACAGCUCCAUUUACAGAUCUUGGCCUCAUAAGACAGAUCUGGGCCUGAGACAGAGACAGAAGCCAUCAGCAUACAUGUGAAACCUGAAGCCACUUUGGUAGGAGAGACAUAGAGAUGAGCUGAUGGCUCAGGACAGAACCUGGGAGACUGGCAUUGGAGGGAAGGAUGAAGAAAGAGAAGAUGAGAAUGGAGAUGAGUAGUAGCUGGAGAACAGAAGAACACCAGAAAAGAAAAGCCUGACAGAAGCUUAGGAGGAUACUUGUGUCAAGAAGUAGAGAGGGGUCACCUGUAUCAAAAGUUGAAGAGGGGCCAGAAUUCAGAGUUUGAAGAUUCAGGAGAGUUGAUGGAUUUGGGGAAGCAGCAGGAGGGAGGAUCUAGACACAAGUGUUCUCUUAGGCCAAAAACAAAUUUGUUCUCAAUGAAAG
rnacentral:lncRNA from 10 species